GACGAACGCUGGCGGUGUGCUUCACACAUGCAAGUCGAACGAGGUAGCAAUACCUAGUGGCGGACGGGUGAGUAACGCGUGGGAAUCUGCCUUUAGAUGGGGGAUAACGGGUCGAAAGACUCGCUAAUACCGCAUAUGACGAAAGUUGAAAGGAGUAAUCCGUCUAAAGAUGAGCACGCGUCCGAUUAGCUAGUUGGUAGAGUAAAAGCCUACCAAGGCGACGAUCGGUAGCUGGUCUGAGAGGAUGAUCAGCCACAAUGGGAACUAGAGACACGGCCCAUACUCCUACGGAGGCAGCAGUGGGAAUUUUACGCAAUGGGCGAAAGCCUGACGUAGCGACACCGCGUGAGCGAAGAAGCCCCUUGGGGUGUAAAAGGCUCUGUCAGCUGGAACGAAAAAAAUGACGGUACCAGCAGAGGAAGCAUCGGCUAACUACGUGCCAGCAGCCGCGGUAAU
rnacentral:rRNA from 1 species